rnacentral:rRNA from 1 species
CCCUUAGAUGUUCGGGGCCGCACGCGCGCUACACUGAAGGAAUCAGCACGUCUUUCUCCUUGUCCGAAAGGACUGGGUAACCCGCUGAACCUCCUUCGUGCUAGGGAUUGGGGCUUGUAAUUCUUCCCCAUGAACGAGGAAUUCCCAGUAAGCGCGAGUCAUAAGCUCGCGUUGAUUACGUCCCUGCCCUUUGUACACACCGCCCGUCGCUACUACCGGUUGGAUGGUUUAGUGAGAUCCUCGGAUUGGUCCCGGAGCGGCCUCUGGUCGUGCCGGAGUGCCGAAAAGAAUGUCGAACUUGAUCAUCUAGAGGAAGUAAAAGUCGUAACA